rnacentral:lncRNA from 1 species
GACACAGAGUGUUCUUAGUGUUGUUUCUGGUAGAUGGUGAAUCUGCCCUUCACAGAGUCUGAAUGCGUAGUAUGCUCUAAAACUGCUACUAAAGGAUGAGACCCACUGAAGUCCCUUUCGUAGAGCCUGAUGGAACCAAGUCAUCCAGUAGCUACUGAAGAUGAAUCCAGAGGCUGCACAAGAGAGGCUCAGGGGCCCCACAGGCUGCACCAAGCCUCCCCCAGGUCUCCACCAGCUGCACCUCACACUGGCCACCUGCAAGCACCAAGACAUCCUGCUCAGGAAACUCACACAGACACUGCUUCUCUCACUCACAUGAUCUCACAUAGCUAAUGUCUAAAUUUCUCUACUGUUUACUUUUUAAAAUAGAAACAAGGAAAGCCCAGCUCAGUCCAAACUCCAUGGAGAGCCAUCUGUGUUCGGUCCCAAUCACUGAAUAGCAAAAACUGGGUAUCCUGGGGCUAGAGCUCCUCUCCCAGAGCUGUAGGGCUGUGCUGGGCUGGUUUUCAUCAGAAGAGGGAGGGCCCUCUUUGCAUGUCCUCUGUCUAUAAAGCAUGCUCUGUUUUAGGCAUAUUAAGAGAAAGCAGUGUCCCAGAGCAAAUGUGAGUGUCUUGGGAUGGUUUUGUGGCAAUGACGACUUUCAGGAAAUAUGAUAUUCUAUUAUGAGAUUGCUCUGUUAUAAACACUUAGCACUCAUUAUCUUAUUCAUUUUUACAUAUGCACACUAAACGUAUGAUGCAGCUAUCAAUUUUACGUCCAUUUCAAAGAUGAAAAACUACAAACCAAAUCAUAGACAGUUUGUGUGAUGUGUUUGAGAGCAUAUAUGAGAUUUGGACACAAGAAAUACAAGGGCUGCUCAGCUGUGGGCUGUACAUGGCUGAGGACAAUGUGGUUCCUCUUCAUACGAGAACAACAACAACUAUGCUGGAAAACUGCAAUGGAGUGAACUGUCUUCAGUACAUCAGAUGAUCGAACUUAUAUUUCAAACAACAAAACUGAAAUCUGGAGACAAACAAGUAGUCGACAAGAGAAACAGUACGGGGAUAAUAGCUUAUCUGGGGCAGAGAGUGCCAGACGGCUUAUAAACUAGAACAAGAAUAAAUGAGAAAU